rnacentral:tRNA from 1 species
GGUGUGGUGAAGCUCAACGGCGAGCCAGGGAAUAGGCUUGCGGCAAAAAUUCGCGAUGAAAACCGCAAGGCGCGCGUAACCCAAUCUGCAGCGCACCGAUGGAAGCUGGUUCGACUCCAGCUACCACACCACCA